AAAACUCCCGACAGACUAUAUUUUAUCUAAAAAUAUUAAAUUUCCAACGGAUAUAUAUUUUGUCAGAAAUAUCCUUUGAAAAGUUGAAAUUAUCUUUUCUGUGGUUUUCCUGCUUCCAUUUUUCAACUCUGGGUAGGUACUGAUUCAUGUCUUCUUUCUUGUGCUUACGUAUGCCGUAUCCAUGUUAAGUUGCCCACCACAUUGAAACUCAAAUUCAGUCCAACACUAAAGGACUCUAAGCAAUCUGAGAUUGGUUCCAAUCUAGUUCUGCUUGGUUGUUGCAGAAGAGAAGAAAGCAAGUGCACGAGUCCCAUAGCUAUACUCCAGCUACCUAAGGGUCAAUCAGAAGAGUUUGGUCGAUGUGCAUGCAAAUUCAUUUACAAAAAGAUACUGGUCAAUUUAUCGAUGAUAGAUCUAUGCAGAUACAUAAAGAAUUUGAGGUUAGACUAUCUCAAGCUAGAUCUCAUGUUGCAUAAGUGUUGGUGAAUCACAAUUCACUCCUUUAGACCCUGAUGAAGAACAAAAAUUUAGGAGUCAAUGUUGGGUUGCAAUUGCGAGACCAAAGCGUAAGGGACGCGUUUACGCUACUGGAGACCUUGCUCAUACUUAUAAAUGUGAAGAUGACAACUUCAUACAACAUAUGCAAGGAUCUUCCAGUCGCACCCAAGAUGCCAUAGAGAUUAAGCGACUGAGGGAGGAGCUUCGUCAAUCAAAGGACGAGAUGCAUGUAUUUCAGUCAGUUACCUCUUGAAGUGCAUAACAUUAUUCAUCAACAUCAACAACCUCACUAGCAACAUCAAAACCAACAACAAGAAGACAAUGAGCAGGCAGAUGACCAACAACAAGAUGAUGACCAACAGAGACACGCUCCCAAUGAAUAUUUUGAUUACUGACUUAACAUCAUAAAAUUGUUAUUGACAUAUUACAUUGUGUUUAUCUUUUCCAUUUAUUUUCAAUUUAACUUAAUGAUAUAUUUUACUA